GUUUUGCGUUAGGGAUUGAAGCGACAUCCUUUUGCUUUUUUGCAAAAGAUAUAGCGAAAAGCCCGACCCUUG
rnacentral:sRNA from 1 species